UACAGAGGUCCCGAGCGUUGUUCGGAUUCACUGGGCGUAAAGGGUGCGUAGGUGGCUUGGAAAGUUUGAUGUGAAAGCUCAGGGCUUAACCCUGAAAUGGCACUGAAUACUGCCGGGCUGGAGGUUUGGAGGGGGGACUGGAAUUCUUGGUGUAGCAGUGAAAUGCGUAGAUAUCAAGAGGAACACCAGUGGCGAAGGCGAGUCCCUGGACAACACCUGACACUGAGGCACGAAAGCUAGGGGAGCAAACAGG
rnacentral:rRNA from 1 species